UCUCCGUUGGUGAACCAGCGGAGGGAUCAUUACAGAGUUGCAAAACUCCCAAACCAUUGUGAACGUUACCUAUCCCGUUGCUUCGGCGGGCGGCCCGGGCCCCGCGCCCGGCGCCCCCCCGGCCCCCCGUGGGCGCCCGCCGGAGGUAAGCCAAACCCUUGAACUGCAUGGCCUCUCUGAGUCUUCUGUACUGAAUAAGUCAAAACUUUCAACAACGGAUCUCUUGGUUCUG
rnacentral:misc_RNA from 1 species